CUGGGACAUGCCCGAUGUUUCUCAUCGAUGGAGUAGGUGGGCUGUUCUCUACAUGAACACUCAAAAUGUUAUCACAUUAUCUGGAAAAUAGACAGUGCCACUUGUUAUAAACAGUAGACUUCCGGAGAGACUUCAAGAAAGCUCAGACAUUUAUCUCCUGGGUACUACAAACUUGUUCUUGAUCAUGUCAAAUCCACCGCCAGCACCAGAGCAGUUGAGUCCCGUCACCCCUCCGGUGACUAAAGAACUAUUCGGCGACUGCUGGAGCUGUCGGUUGCUCUCAGGCGGUGGGCUGCUGGCUUGAUGGGUUUAUGUCUACAUGCAAGCGCGUAAAACAAUGCGUAUUGGUGGUUCCACAUCUAUGGGCACAGUAGGCUAGAUCGUAUUUGCGGCAGGUUUGGCUGCCUGGGGCAUCAUAGUGAUUGCGGAUCCAGUGGGAAAGGCGACAAAGAAAUCAUAGUUUUGCAGAAAACUGAUGGUCUACACUCAUGUCCUGUCCUCUGAUGUCCAUGGACAAAGGCACAGUGGCAUGAUGCUGCAAAACUGAUGCUAAUUUGAAAUACUGAAUGUCCUACUGAUCAGGCAAACGGAAAUGCUACGGAUUCCAGUAAACAUCUAUUAAGUUUUGAACAGCAAUUUAUGAGUUGGCAUUGGGUCCCUUCUUUUUCCCGAAAGUAGGCACAACAUUCACGAAGCGUCGGU